rnacentral:rRNA from 1 species
AUUGAACGCUGGCGGCAGGCCUAACACAUGCAAGUCGAGCGGAUGAAGGGAGCUUGCUCCUGGAUUCAGCGGCGGACGGGUGAGUAAUGCCUAGGAAUCUGCCUGGUAGUGGGGGAUAAUGUCCGGAAACGGGCGCUAAUACCGCAUACGUCCUGAGGGUGAAAGUGGGGGAUCUUCGGACCUCACGCUAUCAGAUGAGCCUAGGUCGGAUUAGCUAGUUGGUGGGGUAAAGGCCUACCAAGGCGACGAUCCGUAACUGGUCUGAGAGGAUGAUCAGUCACACUGGAACUGAGACACGGUCCAGACUCCUACGGGAGGCAGCAGUGGGGAAUAUUGGACAAUGGGCGAAAGCCUGAUCCAGCCAUGCCGCGUGUGUGAAGAAGGUCUUCGGAUUGUAAAGCACUUUAAGUUGGGAGGAAGGGCAGUAAGUUAAUACCUUGCUGUUUUGACGUUACCAACAGAAUAAGCACCGGCUAACUUCGUG